GUGGCAGACGGGUGAGUAAAGUAUCGGAACGUACCUUUCAGUGGGGGAUAACGUAGCGAAAGUUACGCUAAUACCGCAUAUUCUGUGAGCAGGAAAGCAGGGGAUCGCAAGACCUUGCGCUGAUUGAGCGGCCGAUAUCAGAUUAGCUAGUUGGUGGGGUAAAGGCCUACCAAGGCGACGAUCUGUAGCGGGUCUGAGAGGAUGAUCCGCCACACUGGAACUGAGACACGGUCCAGACUCCUACGGGAGGCAGCAGUGGGGAAUUUUGGACAAUGGGGGCAACCCUGAUCCAGCCAUGCCGCGUGAGUGAAGAAGGCCUUCGGGUUGUAAAGCUCUUUCGGCCGGGAAGAAAUCGCACAGGCUAAUACCCUGUGUGGAUGACGGUACCGGAAUAAGAAGCACCGGCUAACUACGUGCCAGCAGCCGCGGUAAUACGUAGGGUGCGAGCGUUAAUCGGAAUUACUGGGCGUAAAGCGUGCGCAGGCGGUUUCGUAAGACAGAGGUGAAAUCCCCGGGCUCAACCUGGGAACUGCCUUUGUGACUGCGAGGCUAGAGUACGGCAGAGGGGGGUGGAAUUCCACGUGUAGCAGUGAAAUGCGUAGAGAUGUGGAGGAACACCGAUGGCGAAGGCAGCCCCCUGGGCCGAUACUGACGCUCAUGCACGAAAGCGUGGGUAGCCAAACAGGAUUAGAUACCCCUGGUAGUCCAACGCCCUAAACGAUGUCAACUAGGUGUUGGGUGGGUAAAACCAUUUAGUACCGUAGCUAACGCGUGAAGUUGACCGCCUGGGGAGUACGGCCGCAAGGUUAAAACUCAAAGGAAUUGACGGGGACCCGCACAAGCGGUGGAUGAUGUGGAUUAAUUCGAUGCAACGCGAAAAACCUUACCUACCCUUGACAUGUCCAGAAAGCCGGAGAGAUUUGGGUGUGCCCGAAAGGGAGCUGGAACACGGUUGCUGCAUGGCUGUCGUCAGCUCGUGUCGUGAGAUGUUGGGUUAAGUCCCGCAACGARCGCAACCCUUGUCGUUAAUUGCCAUCAUUUAGUUGGGCACUUUAACGAGACUGCCGGUGACAAACCGGAGGAAGGUGGGGAUGACGUCAAGUCCUCAUGGCCCUUAUGGGUAGGGCUCACACGUCAUACAAUGGUCGGUACAGAGGGUUGCCAAGCCGCGAGGUGGAGCCAAUCCCAGAAAGCCGAUCGUAGUCCGGAUUGCAGGCUGCAACUCGCCUGCAUGAAGUCGGAAUCGCUAGUAAUCGCGGAUCAGCAUGUCGCGGUGAAUACGUUCCCGGGUCUUGUACACACCGCCCGUCACACCAUGGGAGCGGGUUCCGCCAGAAGUAGGUAGCCUAACCGCAAGGGGGGCGCUU
rnacentral:rRNA from 1 species